UUUGGGUUGGGUCCAAACUGUCUUGAAUGGGUAAUCGAUUCCAUUGCUUUUCUAUAAAGCCUGAAAAUGAAUCCUCACCUUUUUUGUUUGUAACCUGUAUUUUGGACAUGCAAGGAACAUCUAGUCUGACAAGUUAACUGAUCCGGCCACGCGAUCUAUUAGAGAUGACCUCCUUUAAGUAAAGAUUUAGAAUACCAAAAAGGAUUAAAUAUCACUAGCACAUAGAUCAAGUGAUUUUAGUCUACGUGGUAGAUACAAUCAAACAAUUUGUUUUUGGUUGAUUAUAUCUUUGUUGUGUCAGUGCAUCUUGGCAAUAACACUAUUAUACUGUUGGAAAGACUGUUGAUUUUACCUAGGAAGUACCAGAUUUACAAAUCACAUUUGAGGGUUAAGCAGCAGAGUUGAGUGUGUGGGUUGAGUCUAUGAAAACUUGCCAAAUUCUCUCUGGCAGUACCAAAUGUCUCAUUCUAUUACUAACUAUGUAUUAAUGCCAUUUGUUAGAUUUGAUUUUUGGAAUCGUAAGAUAAAAAGACAUAUUGGCGAAAAGUUUGCUAAUUUAACCCCCAGAAGCCUAUGGCGUUGCCACUGGUUGAAUAAUCUCAUCACCGUAUCUCUCUGCGCUAAAAUCGCCUCCAACUGAAGACCAACUUUGUAUUUCCACUGAGGGAGAAGGAAUCCCACACUGUCGCACUGCCUCCUCUGUUUGCGAUUAGGGAAAGAAUAGAUUUUCAGCAGCACAACCUCAGAUAAUCAACUCUGCUGCUCAACCAACAAAUUCAUUUUCCUUACAAAGGAAAAUAAACAGACUUUCUGACAGUAUGAGUAAGAUUUAUUGCCAAGAAGUGCUGUAAUAACAAGAAAAACAUGGAACAAACACAAGUUCCAUUCCUUUACUGCUUCACUGCUACGUGAAAGUGAAAGAUGACAUAAAUCAUUUUUGAUGGUUAAGGAUGGCAAAUGGCUAACAUUUAGUUCCAUGCAGUCAUUGCCAAAGUUUUUACAAAUGACAAAAAGAUGUGCUGUUUUUUUUUUUUUUUUUUUGUUUAAUUCACUCUGGCAGGCCUGAACUCAGAUGACUGACCAAAUCCUGACUGAGAUCCAUUCUUGUCUCAAGUGCUUGGAAUUGAAAAUAAUUUCUGUUUUUUGUUUUUAUCCAGAGGCGUCUCAUGAAAAUUCCACCGAUUCGCAAAUGAGGUUAAGAUCUAGGGAGUUUCUUUGACACGAGUUCAAACUCUCAGUUCUUUAGAGAUUUUGUUAUCACUUCUGUCUUCUGCCUAAUGGUACUGGAAACUAUUUCACUCACGUUGUCUGAAGGAGAUACUUUUGGAGGGGGCUUGAUUCCUACACAAAAAGUGUUCUUUUCAAAACAGUAAAAGACAUGGGUUGCAUUAUUCUGCAGAUAUAUUUUUUUUCAAGAUUUUUCACUUUUUCCUUGUACUUCCUGCAGAUCCUAUAUUCUAUCAUUCAUGUUCUUCUUGGAAAGGAGUGACCUCUUUGCUGCCUUUUCUUCACAAGUCUGCUGUCCAAAGGAAAAGUGUCUCCACUGCAUGCUAAUAGAUGUCAACUUUACAAAGAAGCUUGACGUCAGAGAGCAGACCACAAGGUAACAAGAAGAAGUGGACUUGGUGAGGAUGAAGCCGUGAUUGAGAAGACUUGUACUCAUAAAGAAGACCUUAGGAAGGCAAUUAACUCUAUCGUUGGAGCAUUAAUGUAAAAGUGAUUGUCAAUGAAGUUUCUUGAUAGCAGUUUUGCCUGCGCAAGUAUAAAUAUCUAAACAUGUCUCCACUGAUCGCUACUGAAACUCUUAUUUCUUGUUUUUCUUUUCCAAACAAGUUGGUAUUAAAACAAGGUUUUAAUAAGUUACAGCUUCAAAAUUGCUAAAAUUUUCCAUCACGUCAUUUAUUUGCUUAAGUCAUUUAGAGGCAAUGCCAGAGAUUAAACAGGGAAUUUGCAUUUUUCUUUGUUCUCAAAGCAGAGAACAAAAAGUCAUGAAAAAGAGGAGAGCCAAGUGUGCAAACUAAAAGAGUACCACUCUCCAUAAGGUGAUGUCGUUUCAAAACUAUAGUCAUUAAGCUGCAAGUGACAUGUAUGUUAGAGUUUCUGCAGUCUGUGCUGUAAAAGACAAAAAGAAAAAAAUAUGGAGCCAAUAUUAGAUUGCAGAAUGAUUAUUCUUAUCAAUUUUAAUUACAAAUGAGUAGAACACAUUAUGCCGUUUUGUUUCAAACAGGUGUAAAUACAGUAAAAUUGUUAUUUACGCCAGCCCAAGCCUAAUAUCAAAUAAUUUACAGUUUGCCAGCACUAUUCACUGAGAAAAAAAAAAAAAAAAGGUUAUGUAUAUUUUUAACACUGUUUGACAUUAAGUCAGGGUACAUUUUCUUGCUUUAGGUCAGAAUUUCGGCUUACUCUUCCUGACAGAACUGGUGCAACCGAGUUACGUUUGUAGACCGUGUUUCUCACACGCACCAUUUUUUUUUUUGUCUGCCCAUAAAUUUUCUAUGUGACUGAGGUCAGAGCUUUGUAUUCUCAACUCCAAAACAUUCUGUUUGUUGCCCUUAAAACCACAUUGUGACUAAAUUGAAGUCAUUUUCUUCUUGGAUGUCCCAUUUUUUGCCCAAUCUUUAACUUUCUGGCUGAUGAUUAUGAUGGUACUUCAACAUUUCAGCGUAAUAUUAUUUUAUCAUAGUGUUAAACAAAAAAAACUCCACAACCAAAAACUUUACCCCAGUUUCACUGGGGCUAAUGCAACUCUCUCAUGAGCUUCAACCAGCAUUUGGCUUUCCUUAAGCCAUAAGGCUUUUUUGGCUUUCCUUCUGGGACUGGAACACACACUUUAGACACAACGUGUUCAUCUCUAAGACAAAAAACUGUAUGUGCUACUGUAAAUAAAGGUUAGCCGCCAAAGCCGCAUCACA